CUCUUUUUGUCUCUUGCCCUACUUCCAUCCUGCUCUGAGGUGUCUGGACUCUCUAGCUGGCUGACCUCUGGGAAGCCUUGAUUUUGGUUUCCUCCCUGGACCUGGUCCAUCAUCUGUGCUCCCUCCUUGCACUGCCCUGCUUUGCAGGUGGCUCAGGCCAGCUUCAGCCCUCGGCUGGACACUUUGGGGUUUCUGCCCCCAACAUCAAUCAGCAUUCAGAGAUCCCACCUGCCUCCGGAGGGGAAGUGAGCAUAAGUCCUGGUUCUAGGAAUAUUUCCUCUCCCCAUUCCCGAGGCAAUGCCGGACUGGCCGUCCUACUCAGUCAUCACAUUCAGCAGUUGGUCUGAGCCCUGAUAUAGCCCUGGCACGGAACUUGGCCUUACUGCCGCUCCCCUGGGGACCCUGAUAACCCAGCUGUGGGAGCCUGAGAGGGUAGCUGCUGGUGAGGACAAAGCCCCAAGCCGUGGAAGAGUUCUAGAACCCUGCCACUGCUCUCUGUGCUCAGGCUGGGUAGUGUCUUUGAGUCAUAGGGCUGUAAUAAGGCUGGUGGAUGAUGCCAGCACACCCAGUGGCCCCAGGACCCUUUGACUGGCCAACAAGGGACUGAACCAGCCUUAUUUUCUUCUUCAAGUACUAUGGCUGAAAACACUGGGGUCUAACUUUACGAGGGAGGGGAGCAGAGCUCUAGUCUCUAACAUUCUGCCUGGCAGAGAACACACUGAGACAGGGCCCUCCUCCUCUGGCCAAGACCUGUCCAUCCCAGCACGUGGUUGUCCCAGUCUGGGUGGCAAGGGGCAGCCGGUGAUGCCAACUGCAGGCACUGGCCUGGGGCCCCAGGCUUUCCUGUACCGCACCCCACCAAGACAGUGAGCCUGGAGGACAGGACCUAGUCUUGCCUACCAUUAUAUCUGUAACUCACUGAGAGGCUAGAAGCCCUGGAGGGCCUGCAGCAAUUGCCUGUGGUCACUGCCUCAGACCAUGGAGCCCAGCGGGAAUGCAAGGGACCCUGUCACUGGCAAGCCACGGCCAAGAAGCCAAGCGAAGCCAAGCUUAUAAUUGGCCAAGGAUGCAAGGACUUGUCCUUAUGUGUCUCCAGUGCUCCAAACCUGGUAAGAAGGACUUCUGGUCCUCGGUCCCCUUCCCCACCUUACUGUCCUUUCUGGAGUCUCAGACCCACAGCUUCACGCUUUUCUUGACUUUUAACCAUGUACCUUUUGUCAGGGCCUUUGGGUGACCUCUUCCUUUUUGAAGUUAGGCCUCCUCUUUCUGUAUUUUUAGACCAUAAAUGAAC
rnacentral:lncRNA from 1 species